rnacentral:misc_RNA from 1 species
GUAGGUGAACCUGCGGAAGGAUCAUUACCAAUCCAAAAAACCUUUUUAUAAACCCUUGUGAACUGACAAAUUGAGUUGUACCUUGGAUGUUUUGAGUGGUUUUUAUAUUAUUAUUAAUAAUAAUAGAAAAAUACUUAGGCAUCCAAUUGUAAAACCCCUUAAAAACUUUUAGUUGACUAAAACUAAACUUGAAAAAGUUUUUUCUUUUUUGUUAAUUAAUGUAGAUCAUUUUAUAUGGUCUCUUUGAUUGGUAAAAAAUAAAAAAAAAUUUAAAAUAAAAAAAUACAACUUUUGGCGGUGGAUCUCUUGGCUCAU